AUUAAACGCUGGCGGCAUGCCUUACACAUGCAAGUCGAACGGUAGCGCGGGGCAACCUGGCGACGAGUGGCGAACGGGUGAGUAAAGCAUCGGAACGUGCCCUGGAAUGGGGGAUAACGUAGCGAAAGUUACGCUAAUACCGCAUAUUCUGUGAGCAGGAAAGCAGGGGAUCGCAAGACCUUGCGUCCUGGGAGCGGCCGAUGUCGGAUUAGCUAGUUGGUGGGGUAAAAGCCUACCAAGGCGACGAUCCGUAGCGGGUCUGAGAGGAUGAUCCGCCACACUGGGACUGAGACACGGCCCAGACUCCUACGGGAGGCAGCAGUGGGGAAUUUUGGACAAUGGGCGGAAGCCUGAUCCAGCCAUGCCGCGUGAGUGAAGAAAGCCUUCGGGUGUAAAGCUCUUUCGGUGGGGAAGAAAUUGCACGGGUUAAUACCCUGUGUAGAUGACGGUACCCGACUAAGAAGCACCGGCUAACUACGUG
rnacentral:rRNA from 1 species